UUAAGUGUUUUAUUUACAGGACGACAACAUUUGGAUAUAUCCACUUGAUUUCUAGCUGCAGUAAAUCAUGCUGCAACACAGCCGGCCUGGAGCGUCUACUGGCAUGAGCAGGUGUGACCGUCCUCACCACACAGCAAACUGGGACUCUGCUCCAUAAACGUCUGUUGGACUUUUACAUGAAAGUAAACAAAAAAAAACCCAUGAGGACACUGAUGUUGGUGGCGGAAGAUUGCGUUGCGACACCCUCCCCCUCCCCGAAAAGCACAGCGGGUGUCCGUGUCAGGGCGCUCCUCUUCACACAGUUCAAGUGCGCACGUGAGAGGCGCGAACCAUUCACACAAACUAAAAGCAACAUUUAUAGCAGCAAACUGAGAGACAGCUUUGGGGAAAUAAACGGAGCAAAAGUGAGACACUGGGAAGCAGGGAUAAGCCUCGUUAUUAUGGAUUCGCUAGUGAAAUGUACACUGAGUCUUUUGCGGGACAGUAACAGCGGAUCCAGUCCCCCACCCCCCCUCGGCUCAGUCCGGCUCUCUUCAGGCAGGUGGACGAGGACAUCGGAGACAUCGUGGUACUGUAAAACUCUGCUGUUUGAAACGUCUCGACUCUAAUCUGAACUACAAAAAUGGAUUAAGAUUCACAGCUCGUGUAAACCCGGCGGCGGCAGAUCUGAAUCGCUUUGCAACAGAAGGAAAAUGUGAACCCGGAAAAGUUCACCCCCUCCCCGCUGGAGUACUUCAUGCCAAAGGUGUGACGCCAGAUCGCCACGAUCCGGAUCGGAAGUGCAAAUCAACCCCAGAAAUUUAAUCUGGAACUUUUCUUUUUUUUUUUUUAAGGUUAUAACAUCGCUUGUAAAGUGGCGCCCUGUCGCGUGCAGAGGGACAACGAGGGGCCACGUCCACCAAAGUGUUUGUUUUUCCUCACAUCAGCUGUUUUUUCAUUGCUUCUCAAUGGGAACGCCGCGCUACAGUCGCCACGCUACAGAUCAGGGGUGUAACGAUCCAUCAAUAUAUUGAUCCAUAUCGUUUCAAUGAACAACGAUCCCGUAUCAUUGAUGCAAAGCGUAAACGUCGAUCCAUAUCACCCUCUUUCCGAUGUGCCUUUGAAAGUAUUGAUCAUAGUCACACAGCGUCAGGCGGAUGACGGCGAAAAGCCAAGAGGAAGAUGAUGAGGACGACGUUAUUACCCGCGAAAAAAAUCAUCAGUGAAACCGCCAAUCAAGAUCCGGAGCACGCGGCGCUGCCGGGCAUCUCACUACGCUAACUUCCACCUGCAACAUGUGCAGCUCAGUCUGAGGAGAUGUUUAUGCAAACCGAAAUUUAUCCUUUCUGAGGCUCAGCGACUUCUUUUAAAUCUUUGAUAAUUUUUUUACAUGAGGUCUCUUUUUAAUUUAUCUUUGAAUUUUUUUAUUCUGUCUCCAUCCUGCUUAUUAUUAUUAUUAUUAUGAAAAAUAAAAAACCCGCGCUGGUCACUGACACUUCGGCCCAUCGGUCGCAGUGACGGAGGGACGGAUGCGGACAAAUCUGUUCACACACUGUGGACAUGAAGUGUCCUCUGAUAAAACGCACACAGACGGGCCGGUCCGUCCUCCGUCCCUGCGUCCUGCAGCCGUCUCCUUUUCCAAAACAAGAACUCUCCCUUGUACCAAAAUAUUUGCUUUGAUACAGAAAAUCUGCCAGACGCAACAAAAGCUCUCCACUGAAAACAAGCUGCACCUCCACAGAGCUCUCAAACGCUCCCAGCGGGGCGUUUUCUGAGACGCACAAAAAAAACACUUUGGUGGACGCGGCCCCUGAGGGUCGACUCAGUGAGAGGUACCCAUCACUUUGUGCCUCAUGAAAACAGAUCGCAGGGUCGACUCGAGCUCAUAUUUUGACGUACGGACACUCACACCUUCUCUGCAACGCACGCGUCUUUCCUCUGAUCCCGCCGGUCACCGCCAUCCCCAAAAAUCAGCGACAGGAGCGACGACAGCAGCCGCCUCGCGCCUCCUGUGAGGUGUGUCAUGGUGGCGAGCGAAGAGAGGCGGGCAGGGGCAUCGAGGAGCUCCUACAGCUGUUGAAACGUCUCCUACAGGGUUAUUUAAUAAAGUCCAAAACAAUCCACUCGUUUUCUUUCUCGCUCCAAACACACUGAGCCUCCUUUUCCUUCCAGUUAUGUUUUUCCCGUUUUCGCUCACACGGCUGAGUUCAGGGGAACAUCUCUGUACAACAAAAGGGAGCAUCCCUUUUUUCCAUCUCAUGGUUUCCAUUUAAUCCCACGCUUCAUCCUUUUGGGAACAGCUCAGGUACAAAUAAAAAAAACAACAUCCAUUUUCCUCCGAGUCCAACAAUCCUGCCUCGUGAUUGGUCGGAGCGUCUGUCUGUCAGUCAGUAGGUGGGAAGAGACGAGGCGGAGGGCUGCAGAGAGCCGGAGGAGUUUGACCGUCUCAUGUGAGGGAGGAGG